CAGCCGCCGCGGUAAUACGUAGGGUGCGAGCGUUCAUCGGAUUUACUGGGCGUAAAGCGUGCGCAGGCGGCCCGUUAAGACAGGUGUGAAAUCCCUGGGCUCAACCUAGGAAUUGCGCUUGUGACUGGCGGGCUCGAGUACGGUAGAGGGGGGUGGAAUUCCUGGUGUAGCAGUGAAAUGUGUAGAGAUCAGGAGGAACACCGAUGGCGAAGGCAGCCCCCUGGGCCUGUACUGACGCUCAUGCACGAAAGCGUGGGGAGCAAACAGGAUUAGAUACCCUGGUAGUCCACGCCCUAAACGAUGGGUACUAGCCGUUUGGUGCGCGAUAGCGCUGAGUGGCGAAGCUAACGCGUGAAGUACCCCGCCUGGGGAGUACGGCCGCAAGGUUGAAACUUAAAGGAAUUGGCGGG
rnacentral:rRNA from 1 species